rnacentral:lncRNA from 1 species
UUUUUUUUUUUUUUUUUUUUGAGAUGGGGCCUCUUUAUGUAGCUAUCUUAGAACUUGCUCUUUUUGUAGGCCAGGCUGGCCACAGAAAUCAUCCUGGCUCUGUCCUGCCUCUUCAGUACUACUAUUAAAGGUGUGUACCACUACUCCCAGCCUUUUAAUUUUUAAAAAAAAUUAUGUGAGUGAAUGUUUGUCUGCAUGUAUGUGUACCAUGUACAUAUCUAGUGACUGCAGAGGCUAGAAGAGCUUGUUAGAUUCCCUGGAACUGGAGUUACAGGUGGUUGUGAACCGUGAUAUGGUUGCUAGGAACUGAAUUUCAGUUAUUUACAAGAAGAGCUAGAACUCCUAACUGCUGAGCUGACUUUUCAAUCCCUCAGUUAAUAUUCUUAAAAUAUAUUGCAAUUCCAUGAAACUCUGGUUCAAACAAAAAGUUUGGUGGCAAGAGAGAUGGCUUAGUGGGUGGGAUAUUUAUCUCUUAACCUUAUGACAUGAGAUUCAGAACCCUCACAGUGUAAGGAAAGUCCUCUGAUUUCCACAUGUGUGCCACGGCAUGUGCAUCCCCCCCAACACAUAUAGAAUAAUCUAUAGUAGGUUAUUACAUCAGCAAUCACACAUUUCCCCAAAAUAAAAGCCCAGAAUUAAUAGUUACAAAGAAAUUGAGGGCUAAUUCUUUUGUACUUUCAUACAUGAUAUGUGCAUGCCUUGACUGUGUUCUCUCCCCUGAUGCCUUCUUCCCAAAAAGUUCCUGACCUAUUUUUUAAAACAUUUUUUGUUACAUUUAUGUUGUUUUUGUGUGUAUGUUCCUGUGUAUACAAGUGCAUGCCAGGGCAAUGUGUGGAAGUCAAAGGAUAACUUGAGGGUGUUAGUUUUUCUCCUUUUACCCUGUGGAUAUUAGAUUCAAAUUAAGGUUGAUUUCUAGGCUUGGCAUCAUGUGCCUCUAUCCACUAAGCCAUUUCAACAGUGCCCGUGUACACAUACACACAUGUUUUUCAUGAACAUGGAUGGAUGUUUAUUUGCUUGAGCAAGGGUACUUUCCCUACAAGUAGUUACAUCACUGAGGAAAAGGAUUUUUUCUCUUCUAGCAACUGUUAACUACAAAUAGCCCCCCUCAAGGGUGGAUUAGGAUCUCCUUUGCUGUCCAUGAUGGACUGUUGAGUGUUCAGUGGUGUAUUGGUAGCCACUGCUGUUGUGAUUUUAUGGGUGCAGUGGCUAUAUGAUAUCCAGAAGAUAAUCUGGUACUUUUUAGUUUCAAAUAUUAAUCGUCAUCUGUUCACCUAUUAAGAGACCUGAAAUGAUGCACACUGUCUGGGGACUAGUUCCAGUGGUAGUAUUUAUUUGUUCAUUUGUUUUGUUUCAUUUUGGCUUGAGCUUUGUUGAUUUAUUUAUUUAUUUAUUUAUUUAUUUAUUUAUUUAUUUAGAGACAGUAGCCUAGGGUAGACUUGCAUUCAACCUUCUGAUUCUACCUUCCUUGUACAUAGAUUGAAGGCACCAUGCCUGGCUUAAGAAAUGUCUUUUUUUU